rnacentral:rRNA from 1 species
GUGGGGAAUCUUGCGCAAUGGGCGAAAGCCUGACGCAGCCAUGCCGCGUGAAUGAUGAAGGUCUUAGGAUUGUAAAAUUCUUUCACCGGGGACGAUAAUGACGGUACCCGGAGAAGAAGCUCCGGCUAACUUCGUGCCAGCAGCCGCGGUAAUACGAAGGGGGCUAGCGUUGCCCGGAAUUACUGGGCGUAAAGGGCGCGUAGGCGGACAGCUUAGUCAGAGGUGAAAGCCCAGGGCUCAACCUCGGAACUGCCUUUGAUACUGGGUGUCUUGAGUAUGAGAGAGGUGUGUGGAACUCCGAGUGUAGAGGUGAAAUUCGUAGAUAUUCGGAAGAACACCAGUGGCGAAGGCGACACACUGGCUCAUUACUGACGCUGAGGCGCGAAAGCGUGGGGAGCAAACAGGAUUAGAAACCCCGGUAGUCC